UACGGGGGGGGCAAGCGUUGUUCGGAAUUACUGGGCGUAAAGGGCUCGUAGGCGGCCAACUAAGUCAGACGUAAAAUCCCUCGGCUUAACCGGGGAACUGCGUCUGAUACUGGAUGGCUUGAGUUUGGGAGAGGGAUGCGGAAUUCCAGGUGUAGCGGUGAAAUGCGUAGAUAUCAGGAGGAACACCGGUGGCGAAGGCGGAUCUCUGGGCCUUACCUGACGCUCAGGCGCGAAAGCUAGGGGAGCGAACAGG
rnacentral:rRNA from 1 species